UGGGGAAUAUUGCACAAUGGGGGAAACCCUGAUGCAGCGACGCCGCGUGAGCGAAGAAGGCUUUCGAGUCGUAAAGCUCUGUCCUAUGAGAAGAUAAUGACGGUAUCAUAGGAGGAAGCCCUGGCUAAAUACGUGCCAGCAGCCGCGGUAAUACGUAUGGGGCGAGCGUUGUACGGAAUUAUUGGGCGUAAAGGGUUCGCAGGCGGAAAUGCAAGUCAGGUGUAAAAGGCAGUAGCUUAACUACUGUAAGCAUUUGAAACUGCAUAUCUUGAGAAGAGUAGAGGUAAGUGGAAUUUUUAGUGUAGCGGUGAAAUGCGUAGAUAUUAAAAAGAAUACCGGUGGCGAAGGCGACUUACUGGGCUCAUUCUGACGCUGAGGAACGAAAGCGUGGGUAGCAAACAGG
rnacentral:rRNA from 1 species